GAUCAAGAGUUCCGACGCGAAGCCCUGGCUCGUCGGACGGCAACCCCCUCCGUGGCGGGGUGCCCCAGGUGACGAUCCGGCCCUGCGCACACCGCGCCGGGCAAGCACGGCGC
rnacentral:ncRNA from 1 species